UGUGUCGUGUUCUUCUCGACUAUAAUCGUGUUUAUGUCCAUGUCAUAUCUAUACGAACACGACCCACUAACCCAAAUUGACACACUAAAGGCUACAAUCUAUGUUUCCUGCUAAUUACAUAAUAUUGCUAUAUUUGAGACAGGAAGACAUCCUUGUCCCCACUAGCACAUCGAGGGCAGUGAAAAAUUAUAAACAGUCCCUCGAUUAAGCCAAAAGAACAUAGGUACUGACAAGUUCUCUUCAAUCAAAUAAUAAUCCCAAAAUUUGAAAGUUAA
rnacentral:misc_RNA from 1 species